AAUACCUUCACAGAUUAUUUCCCAUUUUUAACAAGUAUCUCCCUUAUCAUGAGAAAAAAAAAUGUGAUUUUUCCUUCUAGCCCAUAUUUAACCAUCAUAUUUGUGCAUAUGAUUGCAGCUCUGCUGAAAGGACUUGGGAGUGAGCUGCCAGGCUACAGGGGAUUGAAUCGAAAGCCCCCUAAUGGUUAAAGUGUCCAUUAGCUUCUCUACACUUAGCAUCCAUCAGAGAGAAGACAGGCUGGGAGCCCCGGGCGAAUUUCUAACUAGCCUAAUGAGGAGAGAGAUUCUGGGAGCAAAAAAAGUUCAUUUGCUGAAUUUCCAGCAAGAAGUCACUUCAAUAUUGCUUCUAGGAAACACUGACAGGCUUUGUUGGAUUAGCAAGCUAAACAGAGAAAAAGAUAACACUCAAGAAACUGCCUAUAUGUAAGAGAUUCCUUUGAGAACUUUCAAAUGGCUCCUUUCUACAAAAGACCUGAGAAUACUUAACC
rnacentral:lncRNA from 1 species